UACGGAGGGUGCAAGCGUUAAUCGGAAUUACUGGGCGUAAAGCGCACGUAGGUGGUUUGCUAAGUCAGCUGUGAAAUCCCCGGGCUCAACCUGGGCACUGCGUCCGAUACUGGAUGGCUUGAAUCCGGGAGAGGGAUGCGGAAUUCCAGGUGUAGCGGUGAAAUGCGUAGAUAUCUGGAGGAACACCGGUGGCGAAGGCGGCAUCCUGGACCGGCAUUGACGCCUGAGGCGCGAAAGCCAGGGGGGAGCAAAACGGG
rnacentral:rRNA from 1 species